rnacentral:rRNA from 1 species
CCUACGGGAGGCAGCAGUGAGGAAUAUUGGUCAAUGGACGAGAGUCUGAACCAGCCAAGUAGCGUGAAGGAUGACUGCCCUAUGGGUUGUAAACUUCUUUUAUAAAGGAAUAAAACGAGGCACGUGUGCCUUUUUGCAUGUACUUUAUGAAUAAGGAUCGGCUAACUCCGUGCCAGCAGCCGCGGUAAUACGGGGGAUCCGAGCGUUAUACGGAUUUAUUGGGUUUAAAGGGAGCGUAGAUGGGUUGUUAAGUCAGUGGUGAAAGUUUGCGGCUCAACCGUAAAAUUGCAAUUGAUACUGGGAGUCUUGAGUACAGUUGAGGUAGGCGGAAUUCGUGGUGUAGCGGUGAAAUGCUUAGAUAUCACGAAGAACCCCGAUUGCGAAGGCAGCUUACUAAACUGUGACUGACAUUGAUGCUCGAAAGUGUGGGUAUCAAACAGGAUUAGAUACCCCUGAGUC